UAACGGCGCUCGGCGGCUCCCGCGUCCCCGGCCCCGCCUCCCGCCGCUGCAGCCCGCCCCGUCUCCGCCUCCCUCCGCAGCCCCGGCGGCGGCGGAGUCUCCGGGCCCGGUGGCCGCCGCUUGCGGGACGCUAGCCGCGACGUCGCCAAGCCGAGGCAGGGGGACGCGGCCGUCGCGGGCGAGCAGGGGGGUGCUGGCUGCGGGGUCUGGAGGGCACGGGCCGGCGGGGCGGCGAGCGGUCGCCCGGGCUGUCGCCUGUCCCGCGUCGUCGCUGCGCCGGCCUCGCCCCGCGCACGGGGACAGGUGCCCCGGCUGGGGUCUGCCGGGAAGAUGGCGACCCCGGGCAUGAGCUGGCAACAUUACUCUUACGGAGGCUCCUCGUCCGGGCCGGCCAAAUUCACGACCUCCCCGGCUGCCGCGCAGCUGGCUGGGCACAACAUGGACUACAGCCAGGACAUGCACCUGAAAAUGAGCAAGAAGAUCGCCCAGCUCACCAAGGUAAUAUAUGCUUUGAAUACUAAAAAUGAUGAGCACGAUUCUGCGAUCCAGGCCCUCAAAGAUGCCCAUGAAGAAGAAAUCCAGCAAAUCCUUGCAGAAACAAGAGAAAAAAUACUGCUAUACAAAAGCAAGGUGACCGAAGAGUUAGACCUUAAGAGAAAGAUUCAAGUUUUAGAAGCGUCUUUAGACAAUCACGUGAAAAUGAAGCAGGACGCUUUGACAGAGUUUGAAGCCUAUAAGCGCAGAGUUGAGGACAUGCAACUCUGUGCAGAGGCCCAGCAUGUUCAGCGCAUAGUAACCAUGUCCCGGGAGGUCGAAGAGAUCAGGAAGAAAUUCGAAGAAAGGUUGAGGAGCUUUGGGCAGCUCCAGGUUCAGUUUGAAAACAACAAACAGUCAGCCCUGGAAGAUUUGAGAACCGCUCACAGGCUCGAAGUCCAAGAGCUGUUGAAGUCACAGCAGGACCACAAUUCCUCCAUGAAUCUGGGGCAGGAGAAAGCGGAGGAGCUGCACAGGAUGGAGGUGGAGGCCUUGAACAACACCCUCAAAGAGCUGAGACUCGAGAAGAAACAGCUCAUCGAGGAGUACGAGGGCAAGCUGAGCAAAGCCCAAGUGUUUUAUGAGCGUGAGCUUGAUAAUUUGAAAAGGUCACAGCUCUUCACAGCUGAAAGCCUGCAGGCCAGCAGGGACAAGGAGGCCGAUCUUCGCAAAGAGUUCCAGGGGCAAGAAGCCAUUUUACGGAAGACCAUAGGAAAAUUGAGGACGGAGCUGCAGAUGGUGCAGGAUGAAGCCAGCAGCCUUCUCGACAAAUGCCAAAAGCUGCAGAUGGCUCUGGCCACAGCAGAGAACAAUGUACAGGUUCUUCAAAAAGAGCUUGACGAUGCCAAGGAAGGAGAAAUGGCCUUGUUGAGCAAGCACAAGGAAGUGGAGAGCGAGCUGGCAGCUGCCCGGGAGCGAUUGCAAGAGCAAGCUUCAGAUCUCGUCCUCAAAGCUAGUCAUAUUGGAAUGCUUCAGGCCACUCAGAUGACCCAGGAAGUUACAAUUAAAGAUUUAGAAUCAGAGAAAUCCAGAGCCAACGAGAGAGUAUGUCAGCUGGAAGAGGAAAGAGCUUUCCUGCAGAGCAGAACGCAGAGUCUGGAUGAAGAACAGAAGCAGCAGGUGCUGGAGCUGGAAAAGAAAGUAAACGAAACCAAGAGAACUCAGCAAGAAUAUUAUGAAAUGGAGCUUAAGACCCUGCAAAAUCGAUGGGAAGGAGAAGUGGCUCAGCUAAAGGAGGCUCACGGAAAGACUUUGGAAGAAUUAGCUCGGAAGCACCACCUGGCGAUUGAGGCUGUCCACAGCAGUGCAAGCAGAGAUAAGGUCAAGCUACAGACGGAAUUGGAGGAACAAUAUAAAAAGGAGAAACUGAGUCUGGAAGAAGAUAAAAAUCAGCUCCAACUAGAGCUGGAGAAUCUAAAGCAAGCACUGGGAGACAAGCUGAUGUCAGCCAAUCAGGAGAUUGGCCGCCUCCAGGAUCUGAUAAGGAAGAGUGAACAGGGCCUUGGCUCUGCCGAAGGACUCAUUGCUAGUCUUCAGGAUUCCCAGGAGAGGCUUCAGUGCGAGCUGGACCUGACAAAAGGCAGGCUAAAGGAGACCAAGGAUGCCCUAUUAAAUGUUGAGGCUGAGCUACAACAAGAACGGCAUGAGCAUGAGCGAACACUAGCCUCCAUGAAGGAAGAAGAGAAGCUGAAGGUGGACAGAAUGGCCCAUGACCUGGAGAUGAAGUGGACUGAAAACCUUAGACACGAGUGCUCCAAGCUUCGCCAGGAGUUGAGGCUUCAACACGAAGAAGAUAAAAAGUCUGCCAUGUCCCAACUGUUGCAGCUGAAAGAGAGAGAGAAAAAUGCUGCCAGGGAUUCCUGGCAGAAGAAGGUGGAAGACCUCUUAAACCAGAUCUCCCUGCUCAAACAGAACCUGGAGCUGCAGCUUUGCCAGUCACAGACGUCUCUGCAGCAGCUGCAAGCGCAGUUCACGCAAGAGCGCCAGCGACUCACACAGGAGCUGGAGGAGCUGGAGGAGCAGCACCAGCAGAGGCACAAGUCCCUCAAAGAAGCACACGUCCUCGCGUUCCAGACCAUGGAAGAAGAGAAAGAAAAGGAACAGAGGGCUCUGGAGUCUCACCUACAGCAGAAGCAUUCCGCAGAGCUGCAGUCACUGAAAGAUGCGCACCGAGAGUCCAUGGAGGGCUUCCGCCUGGAGAUGGAGCAGGAACUUCAGACGCUCCGGUUUGAAUUAGAAGACGAAGGGAAGGCUAUGCUUGCUUCCUUGCGUUCUGAACUAAACCAUCAACAUGCAGCUUCCAUUGAUUUAUUACGGCAUAGUCACCAUCAAGAACUGGCAGCAGCUAAAAUGGAGUUAGAGAGAAGCAUAGACAUCAGCCGGAGGCAGAGUAAGGAGCACAUGUGUAGGAUAAGCGAUCUGCAGGAGGAGCUGCGGCACCGGCAGCACCACAUCACAGACUUGGAUAAGGAGGUCCAGCACCUCCAUGAAAACAUAAAUACCCUAACGAAAGAACUGGAACAUAAAGGGAAAGAAAUUCUCAGAAUCCGGAGUGAAUCCAACCAGCAAAUGAGGUUGCAUGAACAAGAUUUAAACAAGAGACUUGAGAAAGAGCUGGAUGCCAUGACAGCAGACCACCUCAGAGAGAAAAAUAUCAUGCGGGCAGAUUUUAAUAAGACUAAUGAGCUACUCAAGGAAAUAAAUGCAGCUUUACAAGUGUCACUAGAAGAUAUGGAAGAGAAGUAUCUAAUGAGAGAAUCGAGGCCAGAAGAUGUACAGAUGAUUGCAGAAUUAAAAUCCCUGCUUACAGAACGAGACCAGGUCAUAAAGAAACUCAUUGAGGAUAAUAAAUUUUACCAGCUGGAAUUAGUCAAUCGAGAAACUAACUUCAACAAAAUAUUUAACACAAGUCCUACUGUUGGUGUUAUUAACCCAUUGGCUAAGCAAAAGAAGAAGAAUGAUAAGUCACCAGCAAACAGGUUUGUGAGUGUUCCCAAUCUAAGUGCUCUGGAAUCCAGUGGCGUGGGCAAUGGACAUCCUACCCGCCUGGAACCCAUUCCCAAUUCUCCAGCCCAUGAUGUUGAGUUCAACAGCAACAAGCCUCUUCCACAACCAUUGCCACCCAAAGAGCCCAAGACAUUUUUGAGGUAUCAGUAAGAUGCAUGUGCAUGAGCUCACGGAACUUGACCGCUGGACUUUCCAUAACACAUUGUUGCGUGCCUUGUAUUUCCCCCAAGACGUCCUCCUCAGAGUGAAGCCUCCCCGGUGGCUUCUCCAGAUCCCCAGCGCCAGGAGUGGUUUGCUCGGUACUUCACAUUCUGAAUGAAUUGUGCUGGCACAGCUCCCUGUGGACUGUUCCGAGAGCAUGGCCGCGUGUGAAUCAUUCUGUGGACAGGCCUCUCUGCAUAAAACACUGUGACUGAGCAAGUGUUUGUCUCUCUGAUUUGAAAAUGCACUGUAUUUCUUGUGAUAUCUAUUGGAAUCACUCUCUGAGGUACUAUAUUAUGUGUGUAAUUAUAACAGCUAUUUUUAAUUUAGAUGGAAGUCUUAAUCUUUGUAAUUACUGCAUAAUAAAUUUUGUUAGAACAAAUGUUUUUCGUGGUUGUUUUCUAUCAGGUAUGCUUUAAACACUUUUUUAAUACCAGGUAUAAGACUUGUCAAUAAGUUUUACUGCACUAAUGAUCAUAAAUUGUUACUUUAAUAGUGUUAAUAUCAAUAUAGGGAAAUUUAUUAUUAUCUUCCAUUGUUGUGUAUAAUUUUAACUAAAUUGUUAACAUUUAUAAAUCCAGAAUAAAGGAAUUUAUGUAAA